UUGGAGGGCAAGUCUGGUGCCAGCAGCCGCGGUAAUUCCAGCUCCAAUAGCGUAUAUUAAAGUUGCUGCAGUUAAAAAGCUCGUAGUUGAAUUUCGGGACCAAUAUGUCGGUCGUGCCUCGGUACGUACUGGCAUCGUUGGUUUCUCCCUUCUGACGAACCAUGAUGUCAUUUAUUUGGUGUCGUGGGGAAUCAGGACUGUUACUUUGAAAAAAUUAGAGUGUUUAAAGCAGGCUCGCGCUUGAAUACAUUAGCAUGGAAUAAUGAAAUAGGACGUUUGACCCUAUUUUGUUGGUUUCUAGGAUCGACGUAAUGAUUAAUAGGGAUAGUUGGGGGCAUUAGUAUUCAAUUGUCAGAGGUGAAAUUCUUGGAUUUAUUGAAGACUAACUACUGCGAAAGCAUUUGCCAAGGAUGUUUUCAUUAAUCAAGAACGAAAGUUAGGGGAUCGAAGACGAUCAGAUACCGUCGUAGUCUUAACCAUAAACUAUGCCGACUAGGGAUCGGGUGAUGUUAAUUUUUUAAUGACUCAUUCGGCACCUUACGGGAAAC
rnacentral:rRNA from 1 species